GGAUUCCUUCCUGUUGAUGAGGUAUAGCUUCCUCAUCGAUUGGAAGGGAUUCCUUCCAGUCAAUGAGGAGGCUAAACCUCAUCGACAGGAAGGAAUCC
rnacentral:miRNA from 1 species